GGCUAACUGCAGUCGAGCGAACAGACGAGGAGCUUGCUCCUUUGACGUUAGCGGCGGACGGGUGAGUAACACGUAGGUAACCUACCUAUAAGACUGGGAUAACUUCGGGAAACCGGAGCUAAUACCGGAUAAUAUUUCGAACCGCAUGGUUCGAUAGUGAAAGAUGGCUUUGCUAUCACUUAUAGAUGGACCUGCGCCGUAUUAGCUAGUUGGUAAGGUAACGGCUUACCAAGGCAACGAUACGUAGCCGACCUGAGAGGGUGAUCGGCCACACUGGAACUGAGACACGGUCCAGACUCCUACGGGAGGCAGCAGUAGGGAAUCUUCCGCAAUGGGCGAAAGCCUGACGGAGCAACGCCGCGUGAGUGAUGAAGGUCUUCGGAUCGUAAAACUCUGUUAUUAGGGAAGAACAAACGUGUAAGUAACUGUGCACGUCUUGACGGUACCUAAUCAGAAAGCCACGGCUAACUACGUGCCAGCAGCCGCGGUAAUACGUAGGUGGCAAGCGUUAUCCGGAAUUAUUGGGCGUAAAGCGCGCGUAGGCGGUUUUUUAAGUCUGAUGUGAAAGCCCACGGCUCAACCGUGGAGGGUCAUUGGAAACUGGAAAACUUGAGUGCAGAAGAGGAAAGUGGAAUUCCAUGUGUAGCGGUGAAAUGCGCAGAGAUAUGGAGGAACACCAGUGGCGAAGGCGACUUUCUGGUCUGUAACUGACGCUGAUGUGCGCGUGGGGAUCAAACAGGAUUAGAUACCCUGGUAGUCCACGCGUAAACGAUGAGUGCUAAGUGUUAGGGGGUUUCCGCCCCUUAGUGCUGCAGCUAACGCAUUAAGCACUCCGCCUGGGGAGUACGACCGCAGUUGAAACUCAAAGGAAUUGACGGGGACCCGCACAAGCGGUGGACAUGUGGUUUAAUUCGAAGCAACGCGAAAACCUUACCAAUCUUGACUCCUUUGACCCUUCUAGAGAUAGAAGUUUCCCCUUGGGGACAAAGUGACGGGGCAUGCGUCAGCUCGGUCGGAAGGGAGUCCGCACACGCCUCUUUGGCUAGACCAAAGGCUCACUC
rnacentral:rRNA from 1 species